rnacentral:rRNA from 1 species
CCCUUAGACGUUCUGGGCCGCACGCGCGCUACACUGACGAAGGCAACGAGCUUUCCUUUACCGAAAGGUACGGGUAAUCUUUUGAAACUUCGUCGUGCUGGGGAUAGAUCCUUGCAAUUUUUGAUCUUAAACGAGGAAUUCCUAGUAAGCGCAAGUCAUCAACUUGCGUUGAUUACGUCCCUGCCCUUUGUAUACACCGCCCGUCGCUACUACCGAUUGAAUGGUUUAGUGAGGCCUUCGGAUCCGCGACUCGUUUUGUGGAGAAGUUGGACAAACUCAGUCAUUUAGAGGAAGUAAAAGUCGUAACA